ACGCUCGACACCUACGGGGGGCAGCAGUCGGGAAUAUUGCGCAAUGGAGGAAACUCUGACGCAGUGACGCCGCGUGCAGGAAGAAGGUUUUCGGAUUGUAAACUGCUUUAGACAGGGAAGAAAAAAGACAGUACCUGUAGAAUAAGCUCCGGCUAACUACGUGCCGGCAGCCGCGGUAAUCUGAGCGGGCUGGCAAGGC
rnacentral:rRNA from 1 species